ensembl:lncRNA
GCAGCAGCCUCCUCAGCCUCGGUUUUACCGUCUGCGCAUUUCAGGGCUAUGGUGGGGACCCCAGGCGCAAAGGCUGUGAGAGCAGCUCUAGUCUGCGAAGCAGUAAACACUUGAAUUGUCUGUAUUUUGUUUACCCUAACGGGACUCUCAGGAGAAUGACAGGAACAGCGAUCGUUAGUCACAGGAAAAGCCGCUGUUUCCGCGCUGGCUCUCUGGGGGCUUUUCCGAGCGUUUUACAUACCAGCAUAGCGGCUGGUUUAACCCGACAGAAGUCACCGGCUGUGGCACCACGGACAGAUGGGGAAACCAAGGCACAGAGAGGUUGGAUAACUUGCUUAGGGCCACACAGCUGGUAGCGGCGUUUUCUCCUCCUCCUGUCCCAGCCUCUUCUCUCUGUUUACCUCCGCGUGACGACGUCAGCUCCACGUGCCUGAGACGUGUGUUUGUGGAGCGGAUGCUGCUGUGUCAGAUGUAACUUGCAGGAUGGUGUGUCCCCGCACAUGGAGGGUCAUUGCAGCCCCGUGGGCCCUGUGUGUCACUGCAGAAGGUGGGAGGCGACGCACAAGGUGAUGCAUGCUUCCGGGGGCGGGCUGGCCUCCGAGUGACUGUCUCCUGUCUUAGCCACGAUCCAUAGCAGCCCAGGGCACCCGGAGUCCCGGCCAGGGUCUGGCCCCACCUGCUGAUGUGGUGACCGUGACGCGCAGUUGGCCGUCCUGAGCACUGGUCCUCGUCUGGAAAAGGAGAUGGGGGGCGGCUGGAAGAAUGACGCGGAGAGAGCAGACGCACCAACCCUCGUGUGGCGUUCACGCUUCAGACACGUGGUUCAAUCUCUGAGCUCCUUGUAGGUGGGGUCACCGCCCCCAUCUUGCAGGUGGGGAAACUGAGGCACAAGAUAAUUCAAGAGUCCAUGCUGACAGGUGGGGAGUGUGAGCCCAGGGCUGUCAUGGAGGGUGGGAGCCCUCAGCGUGCUGUCCCCAUGGCUGUGGCUGUGAACUUCCUGUGUGCCGGCUUCUGGGUUUCCUGCCCUUGGCUCAGCCACAGUGACUGUGGGUCUUAGUGGACCACUGGCUUUUCUGCACUCAUGUCUUCAGCUGUCAGUGACCUCCCAGCGAGCUCCCUGUCACCAUCACCCUGAGCUUGGUGGUGCUCAGGCAGAGCGAGGCCUUCUGUUGGGGUCCCUCCUCCCCACAAGGCCCCCCGCCCAGUGCUGGGCACUUGGUUACCUGGUGGGUCACCUGUACCCAGGUGCUCAGGAGCGUCCUCAGAGGCCCCGUGAGCCCCACCUCGGCACCUGGGGAUCCCAUCGUCUGGAGGGUUCACCUGCCCCACCUGUGGGCCUUCAUGAGCUCCUUCUCACUUUGGAGAAAGAUGGGGUCCAGUCCUGGACACAGAUGGGGUCGUGGGGUGGGAGGGACACGGCACCUCCCGAGAAGGUGGUUCUGGGUCAAGAACUCUCUCCGGGCAGUGAAACACCAGAGAUGGUAGAAUUUUAGGUCUGGGGGUGCCUUCGGGGCUGUCAAGCCCAACACCCUUGUUUCACAGACAGGGAAACUGAGGCACAGAGAGAAAGGGCUGCCGAGGUGCUGCUGCUACAGAGGGGCCCAGACGGGACGCAGGCCGGCCGUGGGGGAGGGGUGGAGGCGGUGGGGAGGGUCCCUCUCUCCCUGCCUCCCCCCUGCGCACACACUGCGGGGGGCACCGGGCAGGGAUGGGCAAGCCGCGCUGGAGGGGCCGAGCGCCCGCCUGUCCGGCCCCCAGUGAUUCUUAGUAAGAAGCGGUGACACGCAGCUGGCCUGGUGCAGAGGCCGCCCGGGGCAUGCGUCCCUUCAGGCCCCCCAGCUCUCACGGGGACCCCGAGGAAGAAGAUGAGAGUGAAGCGGCUGCGUUCGCCAGUUCUGGACGUCGGCACGCGGUGUCCGCGGCUCACGUGGGAGGGAAGGAGGCAGACGCGUGCGAAGAGAAAACGAAGGACCUUCCUCCAGCCGGGGCCCAGAGGAGGGGAAAUUCCCGGGAAAGGAUGCAGCUUCCGGGGUGGAGGAAGCUGGCCCCUGACCUGGGGACCUUGAAGGGGUCCUUUGUGUAGAGCUGACUCCAGGGUGCUCGUCUGCUGGGUCUCUCUGCACAGGACACCGGCUGCUGGAGACCUCGUCCUCCCAGGGUCCCUGUGGACGGGUCUUCAUGUGGCUCCAUCCCAGGGGCCCCUUGUCCUCCCACGUGGGCCCCGGGGAGCCUCCUUGCUGUCGACUGGAGGCUGGGGCUGCUGUGGUAUUUGUCCUCUGUCCCCGGUCGUGGGACACAGCCCUCUGGGGGACCCUGAGCCCCAGCACAGGGCGCGGUGUGGGCAGGUGAGGGAGCCGCACCUCAGUGGCCAGAAUCCUGUAUUCUCCCCACUCCAGGCGCUUUCUGCUCUCAUGCGGGGGCAAGGGGGCUGGUUUUCCUCCAUCUCUUUCAUCGAUUCUUUUCAUGUCAAAAGGGCUCCAGCCUUGGGAUGUCACAGCUCUUGGGUUCGGGUGGAACCGUCAAUCGUAGCAGUCCACUGCGGUGUGUUGGCGUGGGAGCAAACCCGGGGAUGCUCGAACCCGCCAGGCUGUCCUCCGGGUGGCGGGAACGAGGUCGGCUGGUCCCUUUAAUUGAGCGUUUCAAUGGUUUAAGCUAUGCCUCCCUGAACUCUUACACCGAGGAGGAGAAGAUGGUUCAGGGCGGGGCCGAACGCCCACCCUGCCCGCACGCCCUGCCCUCAUUGUGGACCAAGUAGAUGCAAGCUGCUUUAAAAUAAACCAGAAAGUUCUGAGUUGGACAGAAGGUUGAAAUUCGUGGCUCUUGUGGUACCACGUUUGGGGACGUGGGCAACGGUGGCCACAUACUGGAAGGGACCUGUGAUUUCUGCUCGGGCCGGGCCGGAGCGCCCCCUCACAGCCUGGCUGUGGUCUGCGUUCACAGAAGGAAAUGCUGACGACGAGGUUUGACUUUCCCACCCAAGGUCACAGGCCCCGGGGCGAGGUGGUAUCCCAGUGAUGUCACGGCUGGAUUCUUCCGUAUCUUCGCUGAGUUAGAAGAUCGCAGGUCGCUGAGUUCUGACAUCGGCUGCGGCUGCAGGGGGCUGGCCCUGCGCCCUCUGCCAGGAGGCCUCGCCUGGGUGCCCCGUGGGAAUGGACCUCCCGCUUCCCAGCUCUUACUGCCUUUUCUGUCUGUUCCACCACCGACCCCUCCUCCUUUGUCACAAGCAGGUGUGGGCCUGUGAGCGCCCAAGGGUGUGGAAGGUCUUCUCAAUCCCCAAAAUGAAAUAAAUCCCAGUAAAUGUGGCCCAGUGUGGCCCAAAGCAAGACUUUCCAG